GAGCAUAACAUUCUACGUACAUAUGACAUGCCAAGCCUCGAGAGACUGAGAAAUCCAAAGCCAAAAAUAUGCUUCUUAGGAGCUCAUCAACGCCAAUUCUGAAUUCAUGGAUCCCUCCACACUCGAAAGAACCAUCUCCAGAACCCGAAUCCUUGCACCAAAUCCAAAUAACCCGAUCCAUUUCGUUGGCAGCAUCAUCUUCUGGUCCAUUUUCUUCCAUUUCUUCACAAGGCCAUGAUUCUAAUGAAAGAGUGAAAAUAGCCUUUUCCAAGAAUGAUUUAAGGGACUUCUCAGUGCCAAAGAGAAAACCCAGCAACAAAAUAUUGAAUGGAAUCACUGUUGACCAGGAAGUUGACGAAGAAGUGGAGAAAAAAGUGUCAUUUUGGGAGAGUGGGUUGUUAUUUGAAGGGUUUGGGGUUGGAGAGAAGGGGGAGGGUGAUAAUGGGGUGUUAGGGGUUUUGGUGACGGGUGGUGGUAGUGAUGGUGGUGGGAGGAAGUUUUGUGGUGGUGGAGGUGGUUUUGGGUCGGAUUUUGGUGAUGAUGGAGGAUCAAGGUUUCGGGAGUCUAAUGAGGGGAUUGAAACUACCGAUGUUUAUUAUCAGACGAUGAUUGAAGCCAAUCCUGGGAAUCCUCUUUUUCUCAGAAAUUAUGCCAGAUUCUUGAAAGAGAUUCGUUUGGAUUUUGUAAAAGCUGAAGAGUACUGUGGAAGAGCAAUUCUAGCCAACCCUAAUGAUGCAGAUGUUCUUUCAAUGUAUGCUGAUUUGAUAUGGCAGGGUCAUAAGAAUGCUUCUCGUGCUGAAUCUUAUUUCGAUCGAGCUGUUAAAGCUGCUCCCGAUGAUUGUUAUGUGAUGGCAUCUUAUGCUCGGUUUCUUUGGGAUGCUGAAGAGGAGGAGGAGGGGGAGCGGGAUCAGAGAGAAAAUAUGAGCAAAUUGUCACCGCCAACUUUUUUCCAUGGAUCUAGGCCUCUCCCUCCUUUAGCCGCCUCAUCUUGAGACCACCACCUCUCACAAAAAUCUUGUAUCAUAGCUUAGACAUAACUUCUGACCUUUGUUUAUACAUCCUUUCUUCUUGCAAUUUUUCUAGUAACCUUAAUUUUAAGCUGCUCAGUUGAGUUGUUUGAUUACCAUGCUUUGCUCGUCUAGCCAUUUGAUGUAGAAAGAAAAAUAAAAGAUAAGACGAGUUUUUAUGGCA